GUAAGAAGGCUGAACGCCGAAGAAUUGAUGCUUUUGAACUGUGGUUUUGGAGAAGACUCUUGAGAGUCCCUUGGACUGCAAGGAGAUCCAACCGGUCCAUUCUAAAGGAGAUCAGUCCUGGGUGUUCUUUGGAAGAAAUGAUGCUAAAGCUGAAACUCCAAUACUUUGGCCACCUGAUGCGAAGAACUGACUCUCUGGAAAAGACCCUGAAGCUAGGAAAGUUUGAAGACUGGAGGAGAAGGGGACGACAGAGGAUGAGAUGGUUGGAUGGCAUCACUGACUCGAUGGACAUGGGUUUGAGCAAACUCGGGGAGUUGGUGAUGGACAGGGAGGCCUGGCAUGCUGCAGUCCACUGGGUCACAAAGUCAGACAUGACUGAGUGACUGAACUGAUUGACUGACCAACACCCACAGGUUGUUCCACUUCAGCAUCUGCCCUGUCCAUAACUUCCUCACCUGUUUUCCCUGCUAUAGUCAGGUCCUUACUCGCCCAGCAGGAUUCUUGAGAUAGUCUAAGGGCACCCUCAGCCUGGGGUCUCAUUCCUCACUUCCAAUCCCCCCCCAACACUACUACUGUCACAGUAAAACCAUGACAAGGUUAAAAUAUGCCUGUCAUAUGCAUGUAUAAGAAACACGUGACAAAGAUUAAUUUAACUCCUUAAUGAAGAAACUAGCAGAAUAGUAAAUCCAGUUCAAAGGAAAGUUCAAGAAGCUAUAGUGGAUGAUAAAAGGUAUGCUGGAAAGAUUGCAGACUUAGAGACAAGAGAGAUAAAAUAAAAUUAACCUUAGCUCUUUCACACUGUUACAUUCCUUGCCAGUGGCUUCAUUCCCAGGUCUCCUACUCUGACGCCUCAGGCAGGCCAGGCCCUCUUCAGGCACUUCAGGCACUCCAGGCCUCCUUGCGGCUAGGGGGAGGGGAAGGCAAGUUCAAGUCCUCAGGAUCCAGGUCUUUCCACAGUUCACCCCUCCGCAACCCCAGAGUUCAUCAAACUGCCGGAGAGUUUUGUUCGGUGCUCCCUCAACAGUGAUGAUACUGAGUUCAAGCUCCCCGAGUGACGGGCCACUAAAUCUGAGAGAUGAGGUGCUGAGGCAAGGAAUACGACUAUUUGGAAAGCUGACCAAGAAGAUUUUGAGAUUAAUGUCUCAAAAUAACCAUCUUGUCAGGAUCUGGAGGCCAGGUUCUCUUAUAAAACCAGAGAGAGAAGAGGUGAGGAAUUAAAAAUAAAAAAGCAGGACAGACAGGGAGAGGCAGUGAGGACGUGGAGGAAAAAGAGGCGCGUCUCGCAAAACAUCUCUGGGAUGGCCAGCCUGUGGAAGGGAUGUGUUAAUCUCUUCUUUCUUGCAACAUUUUACAGGUGGGCAGGGUCAGAUAAUCUCUCUGUGAGUUGAGUGAAGGCACUUUAACAGUCCGGCAGACAGGCAGGGUUCUCUGAGGUGGGCCAUUAUGUGUGAUUCUAAGAGCAAAGGCAAUGAAAAUCAAGUCAAAGAAACAGUUCCCACCUGGAGUCAGAACCGACUCUUCCCUGCAACUGUUAUGACCCCAUGUCUGUGCUGAUCCACAUGAACUUCGGGAAAAUGCAAUGGCGCAGCCCCUGCUUCCUGGAUUGUGGCUUCUUAUUUACAUCACCACAGCAAGUGAUUACAGGCUUACCUCUUCCAUUUAGGGCUGUGCUUUUUCUGGCUGCCCUUGACACCUGGCCGCUCUCAGGCUCCUGGCUCAGCCAGGCUCUGGACAGGGCUGUGUAUUUAUUGGAUGGGAGACCUGGAUGAGAGACCAUCUGCAUGUUUGUGAGGCAAAAAGAUGAUUUCAGAGAGGCAGCCUUAGUGGUGGUGUGAAGCAAGAUCUUGAUUUCCUGCCCAGGAAAUGAACCUGGGUAGCCUUGAUGAAUCCUAUUCACCAGACCAGCAAGGGCUAGGGGCUAGAAGCUAAUUUUCCUUGGAUCUUGCCCCCAGUGAAACCUGCAUUUCUCAAUGGAGGCAAGGACUGUAAAUGCAAGUACAAAGUUUAUUAUUAGAUAUAGAAAGCAACAAGUGGGACUGAAGGAGGAAACAGAAAGAGCUGGACUCCAUCUUAGGCCAGGUUGCGAACAUUAGGCUACACGCAUGGUCACCCUCCCAGUGGACUCUGAACUUUGUGUCCAGUGUCUAUAGAGAUAGCAUACCAAUGGAAAACCAGACCCCCAGAUAAAAUAGCCUCAGGACUUGCACUUGGACUCUCCGUUGUCUAAAAGAAUAUGCUAAUUAUCUCUGUAACAGAACAAAGUGGUAAAUUCCAUUAUGUUUAUCAGGAUAUGACCACAGGCCUAUUGAUAAAUAUCCACUGUUUAUCUAGUCAUGUAACACAUGAAUCAUGGGUUAACUUUGAUCGUAUCUCUCUUUUACCUUGUCCAGACUAGUUUCAAGGAAUUUGGGGAGGUGGGUUUGAGUAAGGACACUUAGGGUAUAUAAGGUUUUCACAAAAACUGGUCGGGGUCCUUGGCUAAGAGGAGACUCUGCCUUGAGCCCUCCAGCGUAAUAAACACUCCACUAUCUGCAUUGUCCUUCUGAGUGAGUUUGUUUCCCAGAACUCAUGGCUACAACAUUUGGUGCAUGGGCCGGGAAACUCCUCACUUUGAAGAAAUAAGUCCCAUUUGGGGCUACUCCGAGGCCUUGCAGCUUGAAUCUUCUAGAGUGGGGAAGGUGCCUUGCCUUUCUGGAAGGAUUCUGCUUCUCAACGCCCAGACCUUUCAUGUUAGCAGCCCACCAAGACAGAACAGACUUUAAGGGAGAAACAGUGUUGGACCACGUGGUGUUCUGGUUUGGCCUUGCUGACCGGCAGGUGAAGACACACGGAUCCCCCUUCGUCCUCUGGGAUCUGGCAGGAUUUGGACGAGGAUGACCUGCCCCUCCCCCAUACCGGAUGAUGACGCACCCUCCGGCCCAGUGCUCCACCAGGACCAGAGGCUGCCUUAAUGCCCAAUCCAGGGCCAGGUGAAGUUCCUGCAGCAGCCAUUCCUCCUCCACCAGCUCUCCUGGAGGUCUUAGAGCCGCCACCUCAGCAGGCUCCAAUCCUGGUGGCAGAAGCCUCUGGCCAGCACUUCCAGGAUCUGGCUCCAGCCGAACCGCCCAAGCUAUACCCACCUCUCCCGAUCUCAAGGACGUCUUCUUCUGCAUACACCUUGUCCCAGCAUCACAGCCCAUCUUUGCCUUUGAAUGGGAAGAUCCAGUCGGGGGCAUCAAACAACAGCUCACCUGGACUCCCCCACAAGGGUUUAAGAAUUCCCCAACCAUCUUUGGGGAAGCCUUGGCUUCUGACCUGGACUCAUUCCACCCGGAAAAGUACAGAUGUUGGCUCCUACAAUACAUGGAUGACCUGCUGCUGGUUGCCGAGACCAGGGAAAAAUGCUGGAAAGGGACAAAAGCACUGCUCCAGCUGCUGAUGGAAGCAGGUUACUGGGUGUCGAAGAAGAAGGCACAGAUCUGCAAAGAGUUAAAGUUACAGGUAUUGCCCCUUGGAUCCAUCAUACGAGGAUGAAGAGAGCAUACCACGCAGACCCAGAAAACGCUGAGUGGACUGCACAGAGGGACCCCGCUGACCCUCGAGAGACUAAGACCAUCCUUAAGAAGAAGGAAAAGAAGAUCCCGGAGCCCCUUGAGGAUGAAGCCACAUAAACAACUCCUGCUGCUUGGUCUCAUCAACAUGCACAUUCCUACGCCAACUUCCACAAUUCCUCCAACUGUUGGAACCACCAUCAACACACAGACCAGAGUGUGAACUUCUUGAGCAAAAGAGACACCCCUUUUGAUUGGAGAGUUGAGGAAGCUUCCUGGAAGAGGUGUCUUGUCAGCUGACCCUGAAUUGUUGGAUUGGGGAGGGAACAGACAGCAUGGGGACCUGCUCAGGACCGGCCAUGGGAGUCAGCUCAGCCCACAGCCUGAAAGCUCACCUCCUCUCCUCCCACACCCGGCAACACCAACACAUCUUCACUAGGCAGGAU
ensembl:lncRNA